AGGGCAGCGUGGGACGCUACGGCGGAUAUGGCUGCAGAGCGGCCGGCUGGGAUCUUAGAUAGGAGGGGUGGAUUUGCAAGGCCUAGAAUAGCUGGGGAGUGGUUUCCCCGCGGAAUCGGCCUCCCUGCCGCUCCUGCUUUGUACUGUGACGCUCAGCCUGUGAUGACUGGUGUGGAAUCCGCUGAGCCACCUUGGCCUAAGGAGACUUUACCACUCUGAGAUUGUAAAUCUGUAAAAUAGAGAUGUAGGAUUAGCCCAUACGGUAGUUGUGGUAAAUACUGUGAGACAAUAAGGGGCCUGGGACACAGCAUUCAAAUGGGAAUAAUGAAGGUCAAGACUGUGAUUCCUGUAUCUUUGACGCUCUCGGUAUAAGCACCGUCGUGGGCACAGGGCAGUGGCCUUUAUGCAGGAGUUUAAGAGGGAAUGAAGGAAUGAAUGGGCAAACUCUGGAGUUCCCAAGUAUUCUCUCCAGGAGCUGUUUCCAUUCUUUUCGUUUCCAGCAGAUUCAAGAGGCAAUUGUUGGAAUGUAAAAAGAGCACGGGACUUGGAGUCAAAUACUUAAGUCUACCAUCAAGUAGUUGUUAAGAAUUAAACAACAAUUUUUGUGUACCCAGUUAAAUGUGGGCUGCUUAGGAAUGAUGACUGUGUCUUAAUGAUCUCUGUAUUCUUAGUGACAUGUAGAAUCAUUGUGCCUGACACAUAGUAUGUACUCAGGAAAGAAAUGGAAAAUGUGGUUUUAGCAUUGAAGGCCGGGAGAGAGGGUCUAACAGACUACAAGCCCUGCCAGGAGCAGAGUAAGGGAAACAGAGGAGAAAAGUGUUUUUAGUCUGUGCCUGAAUGUAUUUACAUCUGUUUGUAGCCCAAAAGCCAAAAGCAUACAUACGCUUGGCUUUUCUGUAGCUAUGUUUAUGGCUUUACAGCAGAUUUUAUGGAGCUGCAAUUACUUUGAUCAUGAGGGACUGAUGCUAGUGGAUUUACUUCACCAAAUGGAACUCACUUUGUGGCUUCUGAAGAAGGGACCUUUGUGGACUGUCAUGGAGUAGUUAAGAGUGCAGGCUCUGAUUUAGUGAUCAGAGUCUGCAUUGUCAGGAAUGGGACAAAGUGAAGUUAUGUGGCACUUGAUAGGAUGCCCUGAGAAGAUUGCAACAUCACCCCUGUGAUAUUCCUGCUGAAGAUCCAUAACCUGGAUGUAAUCAUGAGGAUAUAUCAGACAAACCCACGUAAAGAGACAUGCUGUAUACAAAACUGUAAUCUUAGAAAGUGCCAAGGUCAUGAAAAUCAAAGAUAGACCCUGGAACUGUUCCAAACUGGAGGGGACCAAAGAGGCAUGACAACUAAACACAACACAUGAUUCUGAACUGGAUCUUUUUGCUUGAAAGGAAGUUACAGGGACAGUUGGAAAAGUUUAAAUGGGGCCUACAAUGCCGUGGUAAUGAUGUGUCCGUGUUAAUUUCCUGAUUUUCAUGGUUGCCUGUUAAGUUACAUCAGAGGAUGUUCUUGUUUGCUGGAAAGUAAAUCAAUGUAUUUGGCAGGGGAUAAGGCAUCAAAUGGUCACCUUAAUUUCAAAUUAUUACAGGGAAAAUGUUUCUCUCUGUACUUAAUAACUUUUUUGCAAUUUCUUAAAAUGAAAGCUCUGGAGUAAAAACUUCAAGGAUCCAAA